rnacentral:sRNA from 1 species
GCCGGGCAUGGUGGCUCACGCCUGUAAUCCCAGCACUUUGGGAGGCUGAGGUGGGUGGAUCACUUGAGGUCAGGAGUUUGAGACCAGCCUGACCAACAUGGUGAAACCCCAUCUCUA